UGAUUCUAAAUAUGGUGGCUAAUUUUUUCUCAGAGCACUUCCGAGGUGGUGGAUGUCUUUAUGGAGUAUGAGUGGAGUGUGGGUGGAGGUCUUCGGUGAUCUUGCUUCUUCGGUGGUUGUCUGAUCGCUUCGGUGCUCGAUGUGGUGAUGUGGUGAUGCUGAAUGCUUCACCCGGUAGCUCCUUUUAUAGUCGCGGCAGAGGCUUCUGGAGUUGCUUCGUGCUUAAGACUUCUGGUGCCUUCAACU
rnacentral:lncRNA from 1 species